rnacentral:misc_RNA from 1 species
ACUGUUCUUACAUUGACUGCUAUUAUUGUGAGACAUCUUAACCUGGCCAUUAUUUUAGAUUAUUGGGUUUUUUUAUUUGCACUUGCCCUUAAAAAUUUUUGGGCUUUGCAUUGAACAUGUGGCUGCAGCACUGGUGUCAUAGGGUUUUUGAAUAAUUUGGAAUAUCGACCUGGAAAAAAGUGGAAAACAUUAAGGAAAUCAACAGUAAAUUAAGUUGAUGGUAUGAACCGUGUAAAGCUUCAUUAAGGCUUCUUUUAUAACUAUGGGGAUGGAGGAAAAAGAUCAACUUGCUUUAUUUAGUCAGACUGAAUAUCAUUUAAACAUCCUAAUUAAAUAAUUUUAAAACUCUCGGAAUGUGAGGAGUCCCUAAUGAACAGGUAUAAAGCAGGUUAAGCAUUGCCCUUAGUGUAAGCCCUAAAACUUGACUAUAGGAGGUGGAUAGGCCAGGAAGGGGAGAGAGAAAGAGAGAGAGA